rnacentral:rRNA from 1 species
ACGGAAGGCAGCAGUGGGGAAUAUUGCACAAUGGGGGAAACCCUGAUGCAGCAACGCCGCGUGAGUGAAGAAGUAUUUCGGUAUGUAAAGCUCUAUCAGCAGGAAAGAAAAUGACGGUACCUGACUAAGAAGCCCCGGCUAACUAUGUGCCAGCAGCCGCGGUAAUACGUAGGGGGCAAGCGUUAUCCGGAUUUACUGGGUGUAAAGGGAGCGUAGACGGCUUUGCAAGUCUGAAGUGAAAGCCCGGGGCUCAACCCCGGAGCUGCUUUGGAAACUGUAGAGCUAGAGUGCAGGAGAGGUAAGUGGAAUUCCUAGUGUAGCGGUGAAAUGCGUAGAUAUUAGGAGGAACACCAGUGGCGAAGGCGGCUUACGGGACUGUAACUGACGUUGAGGCUCGAAGGCGUGGGGAGCAAACAGGAUUAGAUACCCUGGUA